UACGAAGGGGGCUAGCGUUGUUCGGAAUUACUGGGCGUAAAGCGCGCGCAGGCGGCUAUCCAAGUCAGUGGUGAAAGCCCGGAGCUCAACUCCGAAACUGCCAUUGAAACUGUUUAGCUUGAGGAUGAGAGAGGUGAGUGGAAUUCCCAGUGUAGAGGUGAAAUUCGUAGAUAUUGGGAAGAACACCGGUGGCGAAGGCGGCUCACUGGCUCAUUACUGACGCUCAGGCGCGAUAGCGUGGGGAUCAAACAGG
rnacentral:rRNA from 1 species